rnacentral:rRNA from 1 species
UACGAAGGGUGCAAGCGUUGUUCGGAUUUACUGGGCGUAAAGCGUCCGUAGGUGGUCUGUUAAGUCAGGGGUGAAAUCCCGGGGCCUAACCCCGGAACUGCCUUUGAUACUGGCCGGCUGGAGCGCGAUAGAGGAAGAUGGAAUAUCUGGUGUAGGGGUGAAAUCCGUAGAUAUCAGAUAGAACACCAAUGGCGAAGGCAGUCUUCUGGAUCGUUGCUGACACUGAGGGACGAAAGCGUGGGUAGCAAAC